UACGUAGGGACCAAGCGUUGUUCGGAUUUACUGGGCGUACAGGGCGCGUAGGCGGCGCGGUAAGUCACUUGUGAAAUCUCUGAGCUUAACUCAGAACGGCCAAGUGAUACUGCAGUGCUAGAGUGUGGAAGGGGCAAUCGGAAUUCUUGGUGUAGCGGUGAAAUGCGUAGAUAUCAAGAGGAACACCUGAGGUGAAGACGGGUUGCUGGGCCAACACUGACGCUGAUGCGCGAAAGCCAGGGGAGCAAACGGG
rnacentral:rRNA from 1 species